ACUCUGGUAGUUCAAUGGUAGAACGUGGGCCUGAUAAGCCCAACACGAUAGUUCAACUCUAUCUCAGAGUA
rnacentral:tRNA from 1 species